CGGAUAUGAAAAGUCGGGGUGAGGUGCAGUUUUGAGUUAAUCUCACUGGCCACUGCACUUAGAUUUAAGCAAAAGUCCAGCUUGAAUUGAGCUCGCUGGCGGGAUUCGAAUUAAGAGAGCUGUAUACGGGAUCAACUCCCAUAUUUAUAUAUUGAUGUGAUACAUUGGGUGUAUGAGUAGCUUUAACUUAUCUUAUCGUGCAAAUAUUAGGUGAAU
rnacentral:misc_RNA from 1 species